rnacentral:rRNA from 1 species
CCUACGGGUGGCAGCAGUGGGGAAUAUUGGUCAAUGGUCGGGACACUGAUGCAGCAAAGCCGCGUGAGUGAUGAAGGUACAGAGUAUCGUAAGCCUCUUUUGUCAGGGAACAAAGGCGGGGACGUGUCCCCGGAUGAGUGUACCUGAAGAAAAAGCAUCGGCUAACUCCGUGCCAGCAGCCGCGGUAAUACGGAGGGUGCGAGCGGUAUCCGGAUUUAUUGGGUUUAAAGGGUGCGCAGGCGGCCCGGUAAGUCAGCGGGUAAAGCCCGGGGCCCAACCCCGGCCCGGCGUUUGAAAUUGGGCGUCUAGAGUUGGAGAGAAGCAGGCGGAAUGCGCGGUGUAGCGGUGAAAUGCAUAGAUA